AGAUGUUAGCGUUUCCACAGCUGUGCCCGCGACUCCCGAGGACGAGGGAGCUUUUCAUACUCCGUGGUGGUCCCCCCUGCUUGUCUUUCUCCUGCCAGAAAUUUCUCUGCCCCAGCUGAGGAGGGGGAUGGAGGGCGGGGGCAGGCGCCCUCUUCAGCCCUGGGACCGGCCAGGGGCAGGCCCGUGCCGGGCCUCUGUCCCCCGCCUGACCCUGCACAGGGCCUUCAGGGUCCUCUCGCCCCCCCGCGUCCCUCCGCGGAGCUAUGGGCACUUCCGAGACCCAGGGCCUCGCUGCGUCCACCUUCCCAGCGCUUUCCGCCCCCGUCUCCAUGUUCUGCGUCUGCGAAUGAGAUCAGCACAGCCGCGCUGAGGUAAGAGGCUCUUCAGCGGCCGAGCUGGGGAGGGAACAGCAGCCGCCGGGCCUCACCUGCCCGCGCAGCCCCGGCUCGGCUCGUCGUGAGGCGGUGACGCACGUUGUCUCUAAAGGCCAAAGCCAGCAGAGCGAGCCUGUCACCUGCGUCACCGCGCGGGCGGCCAGCUCACCCUGCCGUGCGUCACAGAUUAUAGGCCUGAGACAGGGGUGAAUGGCCCCUCGUAUCUUUGUGGGCUGGGCGAGCGAGUGCAGGGUGGAGGGUGGGGUGUGUUUUUUGUGAGGUGGAUGGCUCGGGUGUUGGGUGGGCUGUGUUGGGUGCGGAUUACGUGACUGUGCGUUGUGUGCGGUGUGGGGGCAGCCGUGGGGUGACGGUGCCCCCCGGGGAGGAGGCUUACACCGUAGAACCCUAACCCCCCCCAGUUAACGUUCCCUCCCAGAGACUGUUACCGGGAAGGGCCUCGGUUUGUGUUCCUUAUAGAGUGAUUCUCGAAGUGUGCUUUGGGAGUUCCCACGGCGGGGCGUCUCUGCAGAGCCAGGACGCGGGUUCCAUCCUGGCGGAGCAGGGUGGAUUAAAGGAUCUGGAGUUAUGGCAGUUGCGGCUUGGAUCUGAUCCCUGGCCUGGAACUCCGUGUGCCUGGGGGCUGGCCUAAAAGGAGGAGGAAAAAAAGCGUGGUUCACAGCAGAUACGGCAGAACCUUUUCCAUUUUGCUUUUUAGGGCCGCACCAGGGGCAUAUGGAGGCUUCCAGGCCAGGGGUCUGCUAGGAGCUACACCACACCCACAGCAACUCAAGAUCUGAGCCUUGUCUGCGACCUACACCACAGCUCAAGGCAACGCGGGAUCCUUAACCCCACUGAGUGAGGCCAGGGAUGAACCUGUCACCUCAUGGUUCCUAGUUGGAUUCAUUUCCGUUGAGCCAUAAAGGGAACUUCUGUUCUUCAACUUUUAAUGUUACCUCUUACUAGCUUCUUGGGCUUCAUUUUUCGAAAGCCUCCUGGUGUCAUAAAUGAAGAAGCUCUUACUAGCUUCUUAGACUUCAUUUUUUGACACCUCCCAGUGUCAUAAAUGAAGCCAUGCCCCUGGGUUGGUUGUGUUCUCAAUUCCUUUGGUGGGUAGAUUUGUUUCUUGACCAUUUUAGAAUAUUCCUGAGCACAGACACUUUGCUGUCUCUUUUGUUUCCUUUUUCCUCUCCGGGGUCUAAUGUGGGGUUCUCUACACAGCUGGUGCUAAACCGUUUGUGAUAUAAAAUGGUGACAGCUUAGAACUAGAGACUCUAGAGGCCACUGGGAGUUACUGGAGUUGGCAGACCCUUCCCUGCAAAGUCCUCUUCCCUGCGCAGCCUCCUCAGCAGCCACACCUGGCCUGCCCCACCCCCAUCCCCACCCCCACCCCCAUCUCUUCAUUAGAUGAACGAGGGAAUGAGGCAACUCCUGACAGCCCCAGAGCAGAUGUGGUGCAGCUGAGGCAGCACAGCAGGUGCCUGUCCUGUGUCAGGCAUCAAUUCAGUUGAGAACUGUGUUGGGUGGACACAGGACUGGGAGUGCCCUGCUGCUGGUGGGCUGCUUGAGACUCUUCUGUGGGGAGCAGGACCUGAAGCUGGACCCCACCAUUAGUCCCCAGGGAGCACAUCCUCAAUGGCCCCCUCUAUGCUUAUAUGCCAAGCAGCCCCCAGGUGGAGCAAGAGGAAUUAGAGGCUUUCAGGUUCAAAUGUCUUGACAGACCUCUUAGCUUCCCACUCCCCAAGCUGAGUCGAACUUUAAUUGAAGCCUGUGAAGCACAAAUUCUAUAGAAACCAUUAUGAGAGCUUUCUAGAAAAGAAGGAUUGACAACACUCCCUGCAGGGAAGAGGAUGAAAGUAAUUCAUGGCUCACCAAGCUCUCUGGGUGAAGAGCCCCAGGGCACCCAGCAGUGGCUUCUCCAUCUCUGUCCAGUCCCGGUUCUCUUCCAAUCCUGAUCUCAUUAAAAAGAAACCAAAAGGCUAUAUUACUUGGCUUCCAUCUGGUCUCUUGAGAUGUAAGGACUUUAAUCAGGAGAACGCUAAAGAAUAAAAUAACUCUACAAUAACAAGAAAGCUGCCAGCUGGCCCUUCCCGUGACCUUGCCAGAGUGCAUGGGAAACGGAGCGCACCAUCUGGGCUUGACUUCCCUCCUGGGGAAGAGUGAGUGAUUGCAACACUGUAGGAUCCAAGUUUACCCAAAUCAAAAAAAAGCUGUGCCCCGAAACAGCCUAUAUCUAAAAUAUCAUCGGCUUCCUGCAUCCCACUGCCAGCACCUCAAACCAGCCCUUCUCUGUACCCUGUUCUGGGUCCCAGAUUCCAACAUGGCAUCUUCAGGAAAGGAAAGAUGGACAGCAUCAUGGAGGGAUCGCAGGGGAAAAAUGUGCAAAAGUCUUAAAAAGCAGGAAAUAAAUGACUCUGGUUGAAAAGACAAAAAAGGGGGUGGAAGUCUAGCAUUUCCCAGUCCUCUGCCCAAGGCCCUCCUGUUCUCGUGAGGAGAAUUUACACCUAAGUCUGUGAAGGAAAGUCUGAGAAGGCAAACUGCCCAGCGGUGACCCGUUGAGGAGGGAGGCGAGCAGAGCACCGAUGGUUCAUGUUGACUUUCCUUUUUUUCGAGGAGCCAGGAGAAGAAGCCUGAGUUUCUGGACCUGAGGGCAGCCCCUAAAUUCCCUCCUCUGGCAAUGCUGACUAGGCCCUGACCCUGCUGAUGUGACCCCGGGGAAGGCGGGGCGACGGGAGCAGGAAAACUCAGAUAGGAGGCAGGAUCGCAGGAUGGGGACUGGAGCUGAGGCUCAGGCUCUGCUCUCUGAAGCGCCGCUUGAGGAAAGGGCUGGGCUCUUCUUCCCUGAAAGGAAUGUAGAGGAAGUCAUCUCCCCACUGAAGGACACACUUGCAGCCUUGAGCCUCCUGGCCCGCUCCCUGUCUCACCUCCAUGCCCCGCAGACUCCUUUUCCAUAGCCCUGCAAGCUUUGCCCCCUUUGACUGGUUGGGCAUCACCAGCAGGCCCUGGAGGUCAUUGGGGUCUUGGCCAUGGGUGCCCUUCCUGAAGGAAUCAGCCUUCAGUCAUCUUCCAAGGGAGUAUCCUGGGCUACAAAGGUUGGGGUGGCCAGACCAUGGUGGAAAGAAGUGGUGAUGAGGAAGAGCUCAAUCCCUGAAGCAUGAGAAGCAGACCUCGGAGAGACCCUCAUGAGAUCAAAAAGUGCUUGAGCUGUGAGUAGCCAGGUCACCUGUCUGGGUGAUGCGGGCUCCCAAGGCUGGGACCAGAGCUUCUCCUGGGCUGUAAAGUGUGGCAUCAGUCAGCCAGGAACCAGACACCUCCAGCGUUCUGGCACUCUCCAGUCACUGUUUUUCUUCUUAUGCUUGAUCCUUACACCUUUUGAGGGCAGCUUCUCAUUUUAGAGAGGAGGAAACGAGGCCCAGAAGAUCACAUCCUAAAUGGAGUCACUGAGACCCAAGCCCUGUAUCAUUUAAAGCUGGUGUAACUUGAAUUAAGUUACCCUCUCCACCCCCCCACCCCACCUGGCCAGCUGGGUCCAGGGGCACACAAGGCAUUAGAACCCACUUGCCCACUGGCUUACCCACUUCAGGGUAGGCGCUCCCAGGCAGAGGCCACAUAGCCUUUCAGGUCCAGGCUCAGAGCCAUCAAGGCCAGUAAAGAGAAGCUGAGUCUUUUUUUUUUUUUUUAAUGGCCUCACCUGUGGUAUAUAGAAAUUCCUAGGCCAAGGAUUGAAUCUAAGCCACAGCUUUGGCAACGCUGGAUCCUUUAACCCACGGUGCCAGGCAAAGGAUUGAACCUGCACCUCUGCAGUGACCCACGCUGCUGCAGUCAGAUGCUUAAGCCACUGGGCCACAGUGAGAACUCUGAAAGAAGCUGAGUCUUUUUUUUUUUUUUUAAUUGUUUAAGAGAAAGUAUAUAGAGCACUUAAUCUUGAAAAAAACAAAGUAUAAACUUACUACUCAGAUAUGUCAUUCUUUAAUUUUACCCUGAGAUGGUAUUUAAACAAAAAUUUUUAAGAAGAAAAAAGGAAUAGACAAACUGUAGUAUAUCCAGACAAUGGAAUAUUAUUCAUCACUUAAAAGAAAUGAGCUAUCAAACCAUGAAAAUCUGUGGAGGAAACUAAGUGAAAGAAGCCAAUCUGAAAAGGCUACGUACUGUAUGAUCCCAACUAUGACAUUCUGGAAAAGGCAAAACCAUGUAGAGAGAAAAAGAUCAGUGGUUGCCGGGGGUUGAGGGGAGGAGAGGUGAAUAGGCAAAGCAUAAAGAAUUUUUUAAGGCAGUGAAAUUACUCUAUGACACCGGAAAUAUGCGUCAUUAUACAUUGUCCAAACACACAGAAUGUACAAAAGUGAACCCUAAUGGACCUGAUGGAUUCUGCGUGCUUACGAUGUGCCAUCCAUUUUAAGACAUGUAUCCCUCUGGGGGGGUCGUUGAUAGUGGGAGAGGCUGGGUUCAUGUUGGGGAGGGAGUAUAUGGAAAAUCUCUGAGCCUUUCUCUCAAUUUUUCUGUGUAACUUGCUUUAAAAAAGAUAAUCUUGGAGUUCCCGUCAUGGCUCAGUGGUUAAUGAAUUCAACUAGGAACCAUGAGGUUGCAGAUUUGAUCCCUGGCCUUGCUCUGUGGGUUAAGGAUCCGGUGUUGCCGUGAUUGGUGGUAUAGGUUGCAGACGCAGCUUGGAUCCUUCGUUGCUGUGGCUCUGGCAUAGGCUGGUGCUCACAGCUCCAAUUCGACCCCUAGCCUGGGAACCUCCAUAUGCCGCAGGAGCAGCCUUAAAAAAGGCAAAAG
rnacentral:lncRNA from 1 species